ACCCAAGGCUCUGUGUCUGAAUUCACCAGGGUCCAUCUCUCUGUGAACUUGCCCAGUAUUGGCUGAAAUAUAGGAAAAACCAUCUAGCUAGUAACACCCAGGUGUUCUCAACAUCUAAAACCUUGUUUUAAAGAGAACAUUGCUGACAUUAUCUCUGAUGGGUAAAGAAGAUUCUAUCCAUUACUUGACACCACAAAAGCUAGAGACCGCAGAGGAGAACAUCAGCUUCUUUGGGGACUCAGUUCUUCAUCGUAUUUCCUUGGGGCCGUAGAGGAGUCUCCGUACACAGAAGUGGCUUCCCGGAGCUGGAAUCUGGAGAAAGGCAGCGCCCUGCACACUUCUGAGACCUGGGAGAUGGCCCGGGGCUGACCGCAGGCCUGGCCUCGGGAUGAAGCCUCCCACUACUAGCCCCACCUAGUCUUCAUCUUUCCACCAAAGCUGCUUUCGAGACAGAACCCUCCGCUCCCUGAAGGUCCAG